GCCAAAAAUCUAGCCCUCCUCAACCUAAUGAGCCUAAAAAAUUAAAUUCAUUAAUUAAAACAUUUUCACAUAUUAGUAAAGGCGAUUGAAAAUUAAUAAGAGCUAUAAAAAUAGUACCGCAAGGGAAAGAUGAAAUAAAAAUGAAAUAAAUCUUAAGCACAAUAAAGUAGAGAUUUUCCCUCGUACCUUUUGCAUCAUGGUUUAACUAGUCAAAUCAAGCAAAACGACCUAUAGUUUGACCCCCCGAAACCAAGCGAGCUACUUAAGGGCAGCUUUAUGAGCAAACCCGUCUCUGUUGCAAAAGAGUGGGAAGACCUUUAAGUAGCGGUGACAGACCUAACGAGCUUGGUGAUAGCUGGUUACUCAAGAAAAGAAUUUUAGUUCAACCUAAAGAAUAAUAAAUAAUUUUAAAUAACCUCUUCUUUAGAGCAAUUCAAACAAGGUACAGCUUGUUUGAAACAGGAUACAACCUAAACCGAAGGGUAAUCAUCUUUUUUAACAAUCAAGUAGGCUUAAGAGCAGCCACCUUUAAAAUAGCGUCAAAGCUUUAUUGUAUAAAUGCCCAAUACCAUAAAUGAUUUAAAACCCUCCACCAAUAUUGAGUACUUCUAUAUACUUAUAGAAUUUUUAAUGUUAAAACUAGUAACAAGAAGAAGACCUCCUCUUUAAUGCAAGUGUAAAUCAUAAAGGACACACCAAUGACUAUUAACAUACAUGAAAAAAAUUAGCAACUCCGCAAGAAAACCCUACUUUAUAUUUAUGUUAAUCUAACACAAGAGCUUUACAAGAAAGAUUAAAAGAAAAAGAAGGAACUCGGCAAAUAUUAACCUCGCCUGUUUACCAAAAACAUCGCCUCUUGAUAAAUAUAAGAGGUCCAGCCUGCCCAGUGACCUAGUUCAACGGCCGCGGUAUCCUAACCGUGCGAAGGUAGCGUAAUCACUUGUUCUUUAAAUGAGGACUAGUAUGAAUGGCACCACGAGGGUUGCACUGUCUCCUUUUUUUAAUCAGUGAAACUAAUUUUCCCGUGAA
rnacentral:rRNA from 1 species